GCGAAACAUAUCGCUUUCGCUG
rnacentral:snRNA from 1 species